rnacentral:rRNA from 1 species
UAACGCGUGAGGAACCUGCCUCAAAGAGGGGGACAACAAGUUGGAAACGACUGCUAAUACCGCAUAAGCCCACAGCUCGGCAUCGAGCAGAGGGAAAAGGAGUGAUCCGCUUUGAGAUGGCCUCGCGUCCGAUUAGCUAGUUGGUGAGGUAAUGGCCCACCAAGGCGACGAUCGGUAGCCGGACUGAGAGGUUGAACGGCCACAUUGGGACUGAGACACGGCCCAG